rnacentral:lncRNA from 1 species
GGACUCGAUAAAUAGAAGAGGGAAGGAGACUCUGGGGGGACCAGGAGGGGGAAGCCACCCGGCAGAGCUUCAUCCUUCGCACUCCCGACGGAGCCCAACAUUCUUGGCGACCUCGGCCUCCCGCCCCAGAGACGCGUUAAGCUGAACGUGGCUGGCUCUCUUAAAGGAGCCUCGCGCAGGAUGGGGUGGGAGAGCCGUCCUGGUCCCCGGGACGUUCAUGAUUGUCGCAGGAGUGAAUCAAAUCCCAUUAUGCCAGCCAAGCAGUGGUGGCGCACACCUUUAAUCCCAGCACUCGGAAGACAGAGGCAGGUGGAUCUCUGGUGCAUUUGUUACUUUUCUGUUGCUAUGAUACAACAGUUCCACUAAAGGCAACUUAAGGAGGAGAGAGAUUCUUUUGCUUACACUUCAGAGGGAUAAGUGCCGCCCACCGUCCACCACAGCAGUGUCCACCGUAGCAGGGAAGCCUGGCAGCAAGCAGCAGGCACAGAGCUUGAGAAGGAAGCCGAGCUCAUGCGUAUCUCAGCCACAGGCACGAAGCAGAGAGCAACCUGAAAGCAAUUUGAGGCCUUUAAUCUCAAAGUCCACCUGUGGUGUCUGAAAGAAAAUGACCCCCAAAGGGAGUGGCACUAUUAGGAGGUGUGGCCUUGGUGGAGGAUGGUGUUACUGUGGGGGUGGGCUUUGAGGUCUCUCUCUCAAGCUUCCCACAGGGUGACAGUCAGUUGACUUCCUG